rnacentral:snRNA from 1 species
GUGCUUGCUUCACAGCACAUAUACUAAAAUUGGAAGGAUACAGAGAUGAUUAGCAUGGCCCCUGAGCAGGGAUGACACACAAAUUCAUGAAGUGUUCCAUAUUAAA